rnacentral:rRNA from 1 species
UGGGGAAUCUUCCGCAAUGGACGAAAGUCUGACGGAGCAACGCCGCGUGAGUGAUGACGGCCUUCGGGUUGUAAAGCUCUGUUAAUCGGGACGAAUGGUUCUUGUGCAAAUAGUGCGAGGAUUUGACGGUACCGGAAUAGAAAGCCACGGCUAACUACGUGCCAGCAGCCGCGGUAAUACGUAGGUGGCAAGCGUUGUCCGGAAUUAUUGGGCGUAAAGCGCGCGCAGGCGGAUUGGUCAGUCUGUCUUAAAAGUUCGGGGCUUAACCCCGUGAUGGGAUGGAAACUGCCAAUCUAGAGUAUCGGAGAGGAAAGUGGAAUUCCUAGUGUAGCGGUGAAAUGCGUAGAUAUUAGGAAGAACACCAGUGGCGAAGGCGACUUUCUGGACGAAAACUGACGCUGAGGCGCGAAAGCCAGGGGAGCGAACGGGAUUAGAUACCCCGGUAGUCUUGGCCGUAAACGAUGGGUACUAGGUGUAGGAGGUAUCGACCCCUUCUGUGCCGGAGUUAACGCAAUAAGUACCCCGCCUGGGGAGUACGACCGCAAGGUUG